AAGUCGUAACAAGGUCUCCGUUGGUGAACCAGCGGAGGGAUCAUUACCGAGUUUACAACUCCCAAACCCCUGUGAACAUACCACUUGUUGCCUCGGCGGAUCAGCCCGCUCCCGGUAAAACGGGACGGCCCGCCAGAGGACCCCUAAAACUCUGUUUCUAUAUGUAACUUCUGAGUAAAACCAUAAAUAAAUCAAAACUUUCAACAACGGAUCUCUUGGCUCUC
rnacentral:misc_RNA from 1 species